AGAAGAAUUCCAUUAACGUUUGUAGAUAAGUCAGUUAUGAGAGGGGAAAGCAUCAGAGGAAAGGCUGUAGGGAAUAGUCUUAAUGUAUCAGUUCAAGGAACCAACAAAGACCAAGAGGUUUAUGCAUCUCGCAAACCUUACUCCAUAACCAAGGGACAUAACUGCAAGAGACUCCAGCUUCCAUUAUCACCAUGUUAUAACUAGAUUACAAAGUUGAGUAGUAAGCCAGCAUAAAGAUUCCUGCAAUAGUAAAGAUAUGGCAAUAAGGUGCCUAAAGGACCCAAAUGUGAACAAAAUGCACUCAGAAUUUCAUGAGAUCAGGCAAACUGAAAAAAAAAAAAGAUGGUCUAGAUAAAAUAAGAAUACACACAAGCUUUUCCAAAUAGCUGACAUCUGGGAAAAAAAAAGGGGGGGGUUUGGAAGGAAAACAAAUAAAUGUAUUUGCUAAUAAGCAGGAACAUAAUACAGUGCCUACUUCCUUAGCAAACCAAAUCAGUAUUUUUGCAGUCAGGCACCCU